AACGAACGCUGGCGGCAUGCCUAACACAUGCAAGUCGAACGAGACCUUCGGGUCUAGUGGCGCAUGGGUGCGUCACGCGUGGGAACCUUCCCUUAGGUUCGGAAUAACUCUCCGACAGGGGUGCUAAUACCGGAUAAUGUCUUCGGACCAAAGAUUUAUCGCCGUUGGAUGGGCCCGCGUUGGAUUAGCUAGUUGGGAGGGUAAAAGCCUACCACGGCGACGAUCCAUAGCUGGUCUGAGAGGCUGGUCAGCCACACUGGGACUGAGACACGGCCCAGACUCCUGCGGGAGGCAGCAGAGGGGGAUAUAGGACAAUGGGCUGAAGCCUGAACCAGCAAUGCCGCGUAAGUGCUGAAGUCCUUAGGGAUGUAAAGCUCUUUUACCCGGGAUGAUAAUGACGGUACCGAAAGAAUAAGCUCCGGCUAACUCCGUG
rnacentral:rRNA from 1 species